AGGGCGGUGGCCGAGUAGGAGAGGCACCAGCUGUUCCCCGCGGCGGACGCGGACCCAGAGGCUGGAUGGAGGCAGGUUCGACUCCUGCCCGCCUUC
rnacentral:tRNA from 1 species